AAAAAGGGGAAAAGCUGGUGGCCUUUAGAUUUCCUGCAAAUCCAUUGGUAAGGGUCUUCUUUCCAAAUGGGGGGUUUUUCGAUUAAUAACAUCACUCAUCAAAAUAUGCUUAUGGGUUAUGAAUUCAUCAACCUUGCGAUUGAUAUGAUCGAUUUGAAUAAUUUUUCCGCAGCGCUGUUUCAAAAUAAGGAUCUGUGUAAGAGUUGCAUCAAAUGGAUGUUAAAACGACUUUCCUCAAUGGUGAUCUUCGAGAAGACAUUUACAUGGUUCAACCCCCUGGAUUUAUUGAAAGGGGGAAGGAGAAUAUGGUUUGCAAAUUAAGGAAAUUAUAUACCCCAAGGGCGGCCAGAUUGAUAUCCGGGCAAAUGUAGUUGGUGAUCACACAAUGUCUGUCUUGGAGAUAUGAGGUGCAGAAUACCAGAAGCAAGAUGCAAUCUUGGUGAAGGCUGAAAGCCGCCACCUCUUGCAGUCAAUAUGUCAAAGAGAAAGGGUUUCUAUGGCUGUUAGUGGAACAAUAAAUGUUGAGGGACGUGCUGUUUUAAUUGAUAGCUUAGCUAUUAAAAAUGUGAAUCUAGUGGAAUCUCUCCCCCUCCUCCUGCCGUCGAUUUGGAGCUAGAGAAAGUACUUGGUGAUAUGCCACAGAAAAGUUUUGAAUUCCACAGGAUGAUUGAUGCACGAGAACCACUUGAUAUUGCUCUUGGAAUAACAGUGAUGGAUUCACUUAAGAGGGUGUUGAGACCUCCAUCUGUUUGUUCAAAGCGCUUCUUGACAUCCAAAGUAGACAAGUGUGUUACAGGUCUUGUAGCACCGCAGCAAACAGUUGGGCCCUUGCAAAUUCCUCUAUUUGAUGUUGCAGUAAUAGCGCAGACUUUUACUGACGUGACUAGAGGUGCAUGUGCCAUUGGGGAGCAGCCAAUCAAAGGUUUGUUGGAUCCAAAAGCAAUGGCGAGAUUAGCUGUUGGAGAAGCACUCACAAAUCUUGUUUGGGCAAAGGUCACUUCUCUAUCUGUUGUUAAAGCCGACGAGAAUUAGAUGUAUGCAACCAAGCUUGAUGGGGAAUGAGCAGCUAUGUAUGAUGUUGCUACAACUCUUUCAGAAGCAAUGAUUGAACUUGGUAUUGCAAUUGAUGGUGGGAAGGACAGUUUUUCCAUGGCAGCCCAUGUUGCAGGCGAGUUUGUUAAGGCACUUGCCAAUCUUGUAAUAAGUGUUUAUUGCACUUGUCCUGACAUAACAAAAACAGUAACCCCAAAUUUAAAGCUCAAGGAUGAUGGCGUGCUGCUUCACAUUGUUUUGGCAAAGGGAAAACGGAGGUUAGGUGGGUCUGCUCUUGCUCAGGUUUUUGACCAAAUUAACAAUGAUUGCCCUGACAUUGAGGAUGUUCCUUAUCUGAAACGAGUUUUUGAGGGAGUUCAAGACUCUUUUUUUCUGACGAAUUGAUCUCUAGAUUGGUUGUGCUCGAAUCUUUUGAUCAGUGGGAGUAGUGUUAGUUUAUUAGAGACAAUUGCAAUAAUAAAGUUAAGAAGUGUUGCUAUUGUGAAGUUCAAAGAGCUUGUAUAGCAAUGAAGUUCUUCUCUUGAGUUAAGUUUUCUGUUUUAGCUAGUUUAUUAUAUUCAGAGAUUUGAUUUUGUAAUUGAUUGAUCUGAUAUAUAUAUGUAAUUGUGAAUUUAAUUUGA